GCGGGCGUAGCUCAGUUGGUAGAGCACCGCACUGUGGAUGCGGCUGUCGCGGGUUCAAGUCCCGUCGCUCGCCCCA
rnacentral:tRNA from 1 species